rnacentral:rRNA from 1 species
CGAUGCAACGCGAAGAACCUUACCUGGUCUUGACAUCCCGGAGACCCUUAGGAAACUAGGGGUGCUUCCAUCUGGAAGAAUCUGGAGACAGGUGCUGCAUGGCUGUCGUCAGCUCGUGUCGUGAGAUGUUGGGUUAAGUCCCGCAACGAGCGCAACCCUUGCCUUUAGUUGCCAGCAGUUCGGCUGGGCACUCUAAAGGGACUGCCGGUGUUAAACCGGAGGAAGGUGGGGAUGACGUCAAGUCCUCAUGGCCUUUAUGACCAGGGCUACACACGUACUACAAUGGCCGAUACAAAGGGCAGCGACACUGCGAGGUGAAGCCAAUCCCGUAAAAUCGGUCUCAGUCCGGAUUGGAGUCUGCAACUCGACUCCAUGAAGUUGGAAUCGCUAGUAAUCGUGGAUCAGCAUGCCACGGUGAAUACGUUCCCGGGCCUU